UGGAGAUCCCUCCUUCUGGUGUUUUAUGGGUGAGCCUGGCAUAAGGAUUACUGCUUUCUGGCCUCACAUUUGCUUCAAGAUGGAAAAUCCUGACUCAGCCAAGAAGCCUGAAGCAAGAAGCCCACAUAAGCCACCAAGAGGUUCAAAGCAAAGCCACAACUAUCAACAGAAAUCUGAGGAAGUAUUGGCAGUGUCUGCACAUUAGAUUCUUCUGAAUAUUCAUUCACUGAUACAGAAAUCAAAAAUCAGAGUAUAUGAAUGACCUUGGCAGGGAAAAUAUAUACAGCAGAUGUUCAAUUAUGCUCCUUUAAAAAGAUGUUUUUGCUGCAGCACUAAAAUAUAUUUCAUGCAUAUCAGUUCUUACAUCAGUGUUCUGUCUUCUCAAGAAAUUACACUUGUUUGCUCUUUAAAAAAAUGCAUAGAUUGAUAUCACAAUUAAUAAGCAUAUGGGGAAAAUGUAAGGUGCUUUAAAAAGAAAAUAAACUGACGUUCACACUGCAAGCUUCAGAAAUUUAAUAUUUCUGUCACAAGUAUAAAACAAUUGGGGCAGUGAUUAUUUCAUCUACCUCCCACUACUAUCUUCAAAUAGCAAAUUAAAGUUUUAUUUGGUAUGACUGUUUCUUCAUUCAGAGAACUGAAGUUCUGAAGCUCACAUAUUAUAGCGUGUUUUGAAAAUGCUUUUUCCUUACAGUCAUUAACCUUAUAGAAUCGGUCAAAACCAUGAACUGGAAAAUGUUGCAGGGAAAGAAUAAAUGCAAAUGACAUCUGAGAAUAAUCAUUACAACUUUUAGAGGGUCUCUAAAGUCCUUUCUGUGUCUUGUGAUCUCCCUUCCUAUCAGUCUGAGGUAGAAAAAGAUACUUCCUGAAUUUGGGUGCAAGGAAAAUAAAAAGUAAAAGAAGAAGAAGAAAGAUGAAAAGAAAAAGAGGCCUAAAUGUAAAACACAUUUU